UCUAUACUAUGUGAAUCAUCGAAUCUUUGAACGCACCUUGCACUUUAAGAGUCAAUCUUAAAGUAUACCUGUUUGAGUAUCAUAACAUUUAUCCAAUUUUAUUGGGAGUUGAGGGUUUAGUUGCCACGGCGAUUAUCCCUUUAAAUGUAUUAGGGACUCUAGGAUAAGCAGUCUUAUAUCUAGAAUGAGGAUAUUACUCUUGUAGUAACAUAAUCAGGAAGGAGUAAAAGGGCUAAUCCGAUCAUGAGUUUCUCAGCCGUCUUCGGACAAGUUGUACAAAUGUGAUCUCAAAUCAGGCAAGAUUACCCGCCGAACUUAAGCAUAUCAAUAAGCGGAGG
rnacentral:rRNA from 1 species